AUACGGAGGAUCCGAGCGUUAUCCGGAUUUAUUGGGUUUAAAGGGUGCGCAGGCGGCCAUUUAAGUCAGCGGUUAAAUCGUGGGGCUCAACCCCAUUCUGCCGUUGAUACUGGGUGGCUUGAUUGUGGUCGAGGUUGGCGGAAUUCGUUGUGUAGGGGUGAAAUGCAUAGAUAUGACGAAGAACACCGAUUGCGUAGGCAGCUGACCAGACCGCAAAUGACGCUCAUGCACGAAAGUGCGGGGAUCGAACAGGAUUAGAUACCCUGGUAGUCCGCACAGUAAACGAUGAAUACUUGUUUUCGGCGAUAUAAUGUCGGAGGCAAAGCGAAAGCGAUAAGUAUUCCACCUGGGGAGUACGCCGGCAACGGUGAAACUCAAAUGAAUUGGCGGGG
rnacentral:rRNA from 1 species